CAGCCACAGCUGAGCCCACCGCAGCUGAAAUCCCAGAGACAGCCUCACCUGCUGCAUCAGUUCCUCCACCUCCUGAAACAGCAGCCAUUGUCACUGCCAAUCCACAGACAAACGCAGCAACUACAGGCUCAGCAGAGCUCGUUCCCCUGCCUAACUAUGUGAAGCUGUUGUUGCUGAAAUACCUAAACAGCCUGUGCCAGCCAAGGAGACCUGGGAUGCCAGAAGUGACAUUGGAAGGGUGUGUAAAGGAUCCAACCUGUGGGAAUCAGCCUUCACCAGGCCAGAGGCUCAUCCAGCUCCGUCACGGGGCUGCUGUAAACCCCAGACUCUGCCUGAGGUGCAAAGUAUCAGGGUGCAAUGCACCCCCUCCUCCUCCUCCUCCUGUCAGACCCUUCCCAGGGAACAGGCUCCCCCCUCUCAGACCCUUCCCAGGGAACAGGCUCCCUCCUGUCAGACCCUUCCCAGGGAACAGGCUCCCCCCUGUCAGACCCUUCCCACAAAACAGGCUCCCCCCUGUAAGACCCUUCCCAGGGAACAGGCUCCCCCCUGUCAGACCUUUCCCAGUGAACAGGCUCCCUCCUCCCAGACCCUUCCCAGGGAACAGGAGAAGAGCCAGGAGAAGCGCAAGCGACGUCGUUAUUGUCAUCGUCUCCUAGUAAGGAUGCUUCUGACCAUGACGUUAUGUUGAGCGCCUCUAGACCUGUUCAUUGUGUUCCAAGAUCUGCUGCUCAUUUCUAAAAAUAUGCUAGUGGGUGUAAAUCUAAAGGUAUUUCAUCUUAAAUUAACUUGGGUUGCUUAAAUUCAGAUCUUUCGAAUCGAUGCAGCGGAUCUUGUAAAA